ACUCCUACGGGAGGCAGCAGUGAGGAAUAUUGGUCAAUGGGCGCAAGCCUGAACCAGCCAUGCCGCGUGCAGGAAGAAUGCCCUAUGGGUUGUAAACUGCUUUUAUUUAGGAAUAAACUCUUGUACGUGUACAAGCCUGAAGGUACUAAAUGAAUAAGCACCGGCUAACUCCGUGCCAGCAGCCGCGGUAAUAC
rnacentral:rRNA from 1 species